rnacentral:rRNA from 1 species
GACGAACGCUGGCGGCGUGCUUAACACAUGCAAGUCGAACGGAAAGGCCCUGCUUUUGUGGGGUGCUCGAGUGGCGAACGGGUGAGUAACACGUGAGUAACCUGCCCUUGACUUUGGGAUAACUUCAGGAAACUGGGGCUCAUACCGGAUAGGAUCUCCUGCUGCAUGGUGGGGGUUGGAAAGUUUCGGCGUUUGGGGAUGUACUCGCGGCUUAUCAGCUUGUUGGUGGGGUAGUGGCUGACCAAGGCUUUGACGGGUAGCCGGCCUGAGAGGGUGACCGGCCACAUUGGGACUGGGAUACGGCCCAGACUCAUACGGGAGGCAGCGGUGGGGACUAUUGCACACUGGGCGGAAGCAUGAUGGAGCAACGCCGCGUGCGAGAUGACGGCCUUCGGGUUGUAACAAGCUUUCGCGUGUGACGAAGCGUGAGUGACGGUAAUGGGUAAAGAAGCACCGGCUAACUACGU